rnacentral:rRNA from 1 species
UACGUAGGGGGCAAGCGUUGUCCGGAUUUAUUGGGCGUAAAGAGCGCGUAGGCGGCUAGGUAGGUCCGUUGUGAAAACUCGAGGCUUAACCUCGAGACGCCGAUGGAAACCAUCUGGCUAGAGUCCGGAAGAGGAGAGUGGAAUUCCUGGUGUAGCGGUGAAAUGCGCAGAUAUCAGGAAGAACACCCGUGGCUAAGGCGGCUCUCUAGUACGGUACUGACGCUGAGACGCGAAAGCGUGGGGAGCGAACAGG